UCUCUCAGGUGAGUCAAAGGAGACACGACGGGGAACCAGGGGGCCCUAGGUGAGGAUGUCAUGGGCCUGGUGCUCCACCAGCAUCUCCAUGCUCUUCACAUCCGUGCACCAGAACUCCAGGCGGUCCUUCAUUCCCUUGAUCUGUUGCAAAUCCAACACUCGGGGCUGCACCCAGGUCAUGUGGACUCGUUUGUCCACCUCGUCUAUACUGCCUUUCACCAGCC
rnacentral:lncRNA from 1 species